GGCUGCUUUGUAAUCCUAGCUUGUAGUCCUCAGCUUGUCUUUCAUUCCGAUUCCCUCAUUAUUUCUUCUUUCCAGUAAUAUUUUGCAGACUUAUCAGCUGUGACCCCGGACAUUGCCUAGGUGCUGUCCGAGUCCUCUGGCCUGCCUUCCUUCCUCACCAUCCAUCGGGCACCUGACUGUUCACCCUGGAAUAGUUCUCCAUUAAAGGCCAGUCCUCAGAAGCCGACCAUGCCUGCAAACAGCGUGGCGUCAACGUGCCUGGAUUCGCACACCCCAGGAACCACCCCACCCUUUUUUGGUGUUUUCAAGGAGGGAGUGAAGACCAAACCAUUUGAACAAGAAAAGAAGACAAAAACCAAACAAAAAGGAAAUGAAAAGUUCUCUGUCACUUUUCCUCACUGGCUGCAGCACAA